rnacentral:rRNA from 1 species
AUAUCAGUAAGCGGAGGAAAAGAAACCAACAGGGAUUGCCUCAGUAACGGCGAGUGAAGCGGCAACAGCUCAAAUUUGAAAUCUGGCCCCUUGGGGUCCGAGUUGUAAUUUGUAGAGGAUGCUUCGGGUUAAGCCGCGGCCUAAUUUGCUUGGAACAGCGAGUCGUAGAGGGUGAGAAUCCCGUCUAGGGCCGCGCGCCGCGCCCGUGUGAAGCUCCUUCGACGAGUCGAGUUGUUUGGGAAUGCAGCUCUAAAUGGGUGGUAAAUUUCAUCUAAAGCUAAAUAUUGGCCAGAGACCGAUAGCGCACAAGUAGAGUGAUCGAAAGAUGAAAAGCACUUUGAAAAGAGAGUUAAACAGUAUGUGAAAUUGUUGAAAGGGAAGCGCUUGCGACCAGACUUGCGAGCGACGGUUCCCCGGGUCUUCUGACCCGGCUACUCCGUCGUCUCCAGGCCAGCAUCGGUUUGGGUGGUCGGUCAAAGACCCCGGGAAUGUAUCUACCUCCGGGUCGACUUAUAGCCCGGGGUGCAAUGCGGCCCACCCGGACCGAGGAACGCGCUCCGGCUCGGAUGUUGGCGUAAUGGUCGUAAGCGGCCCGUCUUGAAACACGGACCAAGGAGUCUAACAUCUAUGCGAGUGUUUGGGUGUCAAACCCCUACGCGUAAUGAAAGUGAACGGAGGUAAGAACCCCUCGUCUCAGGGGGCGCAUUAUCGACCGAUCCUGAUGUCUUCGGAUGGAUUUGAGUAAGAGCAUAGCUGUUGGGACCCGAAAGAUGGUGAACUAUGCCUGAAUAGGGUGAAGCCAGAGGAAACUCUGGUGGAGGCUCGCAGCGGUUCUGACGUGCAAAUCGAUCGUCAAAUUUGGGCAUAGGGGCGAAAGACUAAUCGAACCAUCCGUAUGGCAUCUUGCGAAGAAACAGAUCGGUGUAUCUUUAAGCGUUGCCAGGUGGUUAAUUUCCUCCCUUUCGGUUAGGUCAGUCUGAUACUUGGCUAUCGGGCGACGUCGUCAGUCUUCGGGGAUGUCCUCACGGCUAUCCGAAGCCGUCCUUAUCUUGGGACGGUUCACAGACUAGACAGUGACGGCCGGAUCCCUUUGACCGGGGACGGUGAUUAUAUAGUCGAGUAAAGUUAUCGGAUCUCGCGAGUGCCCUAACCAGAGCACUCGGUAGACUGUACGUUAUUAUGUACGCCUUAUUAGGGCUUUGGGUUCCUUUAGGGCUGGUCUUGAGAGCAUCCCGUAGCUUUAAACGCUGGUAGCUGGUUCCUGUCGAAGUUUCCCUCAGGAUAGCAGUAACGUAUUCAGUUUUAUGAGGUAAAGCGAAUGAUUAGAGGCCUUGGGGUUGAAACAACCUUAACCUAUUCUCAAACUUUAAAUAUGUAAGAAGUCCUUGUUGCUUAAUUGAACGUGGACAUACGAAUGUAUCGUUACUAGUGGGCCAUUUUUGGUAAGCAGAACUGGCGAUGCGGGAUGAACCGAACGUGAGGUUAAGGUGCCGGAAUGCACGCUCAUCAGACACCACAAAAGGUGUCAAUGCAUCCAGACAGCCGGACGGUGGCCAUGGAAGUCGGAAUCCGCUUAGGAGUGUGUAGUCAUAAAAGAUCAUUGAGAUUGUUGCACACAAGUAAUUCGUGACGGAAUUAGUCCAAACCCCACAUUUUAAGGCACAAAUGUUGGUUUGUGAUGACAGCUCCAUUUGACCGAGAUCUCGCAAGGAUGAUCGGUCGUAGAUCUGGAAACAGGUCUAUCCACAGGCUAAAAAGAGCUGGCUGUAAUGUCUACAUUGCGGUUAAGAUAUAGUCGAUCGAGGUCUCCAACCGAGGCCCUUCAACGAGAACAACUCACCGGCCGAAUGCAUUGGCCCUGAAAAUGGAUGGCGCUUAAGCGUGCUACCUAUACCUCGCCGUUGGGGUUGAAAUGAUGCCCCAACGAGUAGGCAGGCGUGGGGGUCCGUGACGAAGCCUCGGGGGUGACCCCGGGUCGAACGGCCCCCAGUG